rnacentral:rRNA from 1 species
GACGAACGCUGGCGGCGUGCCUAAUACAUGCAAGUAGAACGCACAGUUUAUACCGUAGCUUGCUACACCAUAGACUGUGAGUUGCGAACGGGUGAGUAACGCGUAGGUAACCUGCCUGGUAGCGGGGGAUAACUAUUGGAAACGAUAGCUAAUACCGCAUAAUAUUGAUUAUUGCAUGAUAAUUGAUUGACAGAUGCUAUUGCAUCACUACCAGAUGGACCUGCGUUGUAUUAGCUAGUAGGUGAGGUAACGGCUCACCUAGGCGACGAUACAUAGCCGACCUGAGAGGGUGAUCGGCCACACUGGGACUGAGACACGGCCCAGACUCCUACGGGAGGCAGCAGUAGGGAAUCUUCGGCAAUGGACGAAAGUCUGACCGAGCAACGCCGCGUGAGUGAAGAAGGUUUUCGGAUCGUAAAGCUCUGUUGUAAGAGAAGAACGGGUGUGAGAGUGGAAAGUUCACACUGUGACGGUAUCUUACCAGAAAGGGACGGCUAACUACGUG